CAGCCCUAAACGAUGCGCGUUAGGUGUAUCGGUGACCACGAGUCACCGAGGUGCCGAAGGGAAACCGUGAAACGUGCCGCCUGGGAAGUACGGUCGCAAGGCUGAAACUUAAAGGAAUUGGCGGGAGCACCACAACGGGUGGAGCCUGCGGGUUUAAUUUGGACUCAACGCCGGGAAGCUCACCGGAUAAGACAGCGGAAUGAUUGCCGGGCUGAAGACUCUGCAUGACUAGCUGAGAGGAGGUGCAUGGCGUAGACGUCU
rnacentral:rRNA from 1 species